rnacentral:rRNA from 1 species
UACGUAGGGCGCAAGCGUUGUCCGGAAUUAUUGGGCGUAAAGAGCUCGUAGGCGGCCAGUUGCGUCUGCUGUGAAAUCCCGGGGCUCAACCCCGGGCGUGCAGUGGAUACGGGCUGGCUAGAGGCAGGCAGGGGAGAACGGAAUUCCCGGUGUAGCGGUGAAAUGCGCAGAUAUCAGGAGGAACACCGGUGGCGAAGGCGGGUCUCUGGGCCAUUACUGACGCUGAGGAGCGAAAGCGUGGGGAGCGAACAGG